rnacentral:rRNA from 1 species
UACGUAGGGUCCAAGCGUUGUCCGGAUUUAUUGGGAGUAAAGAGUUCGUAGGCGGCUAAGUAAGUAGGAUGUGAAAACUCGGGGCUCAACCCCGAGACGCCAUCCGAUACUGCUGUGGCUUGAGUCUGGUAGGGGAACACGGAAUUCCUGGUGUAGCGGUGAAAUGCGCAGAUAUCAGGAGGAACACCGAUGGCGAAGGCAGCUCGCUGGGACGUAACUGACGCUGAGACGCGAAAGCGUGGGGAGCAAACAGG